rnacentral:misc_RNA from 1 species
CAAAAAUAGGAGUUAUAUUUGCUGGUGAAGAAGCAAUUGUGGUGGUUGGACAUUUAAGCUGUUGACGUUAAUUUGGAAUUAUGUUCAGCUUUGGUGAUUACUGCAUAUAUUGUCAAGGUACAUCGUCUUGAUAGAGAGAGCAGUGGCCUUCAUUUAAUGGGAAGAACGGAAGAAAGUAUCUCCCAUCUUCAUUUAUUGUUCAGCAACACAAAAAGGUCCAAGUCCCUAUCUAAGGCAUGGAAUGAUGCAUGUGGGUCAACAUAUCAGAGGUAUUGGGCGUUGGUAAUAGGUUCCCCCAAGGUGAAG